CAGGUCCCAGUAUGGUUGUGAACUACCACGUAGUUACUGAAAACUGAACUCAGGACCUUUGGAAGAACAAUGCCUUUAACCACUGAGCUACCUCUCCAGCCCCAGAAGCAUUCUUGAAUAGAGUUAGCUGAGCCAGAUCUUAGGUUUACCCAGUCUUCUGUUGUCAGUUGGCUUGUUUUCUAGACCAGAAUAGCCUUUCAGAUCCUAAUCUGACUAGUCUUCUGAUGUCACAUUCACUUCUUUAACCCAGAGAGAGAACUUGCAUAGGUUCCUCAACACUCGUUUUGUGAUUCCUUGUUCUUUCACUAUCAAAAAUUGAGGGACAACCCACCUCAGCAAACUGAAAUCUAAUUGGCCCAGCAGAAGAGAAACUGAAGAGAAGUGUUUCUGUUGAAGUAAAGGUUGUUCACAAAAAGCUUGGUUUUGUUCCACUUUUAUAGAAACAUUCGGAGAGUCAUUACAAUUAGUAAAAGUCUUUAUAUGUGAAUAGCAUUUGUAGAUUGGUGGCACAAAACUGAUUAAUUUCACUUUAUUCUCAAUAUAUUUGUUGUAGAAGCAAAGGCCACUAAGAAGGGUUCCAUCUCUAAGCAACUUUGAAGGUUUUGAUGACAACUGAGGGCUGACCAGUUCUCUGGUGGUUACUGCUACUGAUCCAUCCAAACUGCUGGACUUCUUCAUACCCAAGGUCUUCAGGCAGUAUCUAAUGGGAAGUCAACUUAAAGGAACCAGACCAUCAUUUCCCAGCCUGCCCUUUUAUUCUGUAGCUACCUCUAUGUGAGGAAAGGAUAGAAAACAUUCAAGACAUCAUACGGGCUUACGAUCUACAGAUUCCAACCAGUAGCAGUGGCUGACUCCUACAUAGAAGACUGGGAACUACAAACAGGCUGGGGUCACCUCAGUGACAUCUGAC
ensembl:lncRNA